rnacentral:rRNA from 1 species
GCAUAGUGUUGUGAAUUUGAAUUUGGGUGUACAUGAUCUUACUAGCUUCUAAUUCUACUGAGCCAUACGGAUGAUGGUGUGUUUGCUCUCACACAUUUAUUCAAAGGAUCAUUGUGAUGAAUGAUACCAAUUCUAGGUUGCUGGAACUUGCAUCCAAUCCUUCUAUUCCCAACUGGUGAGUUUAUAGGUUGCAGUGUUUGUGGUGGUCUCCUCCUGAUGGAGCUCAGUAUAUGCCCUUCUUGUUUACCUAAAAAUCUCUUCUCUCCUAAGAUCUUGUAGGAAUCUUUCUUUUUUCCUUAAGAAGCAUGCUAC